CCAAAGUUAUUGGACAAGUUUGUCUUUUUAUCUUUGGGAAUGAGUUUAUUUAUUAUUG
rnacentral:tRNA from 1 species